AAUGGGCGCAAGCCUGAUCCUGCCAUCCCGCGUGCAGGAUGACGGCCUAUGGGUUGUAAACUGCUUUUAGAAGGGACGAACCCUCGGAUUUAUCCGGGGCUGACGGUACCUUCAGAAUAAGCACCGGCUAACUCCGUGCCAGCAGCCGCGGUAAUACGGAGGGUGCAAGCGUUAUCCGGAAUCACUGGGUUUAAAGGGUGCGUAGGCGGCAUUGUAAGUCAGAUGUGAAAGCCCACCGCUUAACGGUGGAACUGCAUUUGAUACUGCAAAGCUUGAAUCAGGAGGAGGUCAGCGGAAUGUGUCAUGUAGCGGUGAAAUGCAUAGAUAUGACAUACAACACCAGUUGAGAGGCAGCUGGCUAGUCCUGUAUUGACGAUGCGGCAAGAAAGGGGGGGGAGCGAACAGGAUU
rnacentral:rRNA from 1 species